AUGAGGACCAUGUGUUGGAACUGCCGCAGAAUUGGAGUUCUCGCGACUGUUAGGGAGCUCCGCGAUGUCGUGGAGGCGCGUGCGCCGUUGAUCCUAUGCAUUGUUGAAACUCAGCCUGCGAAGGCUCGAGUGGAGGGUUUGGCUGGUUCUUUAGGCUUUUCAGGCGGUUUUGCAGUUCCUUGUAGUGGUCGUAGUGGUGGUUUAUGUUUUUGGAAGGAUCAUGUUAAUCUUGCAAUAAUUUUUUUUUCACGGUAUCACAUAGACUCAUGGAUUACACAGCCAGGUGCUGAUGGUUGGCGUUUAACUUGCUUCUAUGGUGAAGCCAACAGAAGCUUGAGACAUAAUACUUGGGAGACGAUGAAGAGGCUAAGAGGGGAGAGCACACUCCCAUGGGUGUGGAUCGGAGAUUUUAACGACGUGUUGUGCCCGGAGAAGCAUAUGGGUACUAACGCCCGAGAUAGUGGUCAGAUAGCAGGGUUCAGAGAAGCCGUGGAUAUAUGCGAGCUUGCUGACCUAGGGUAUAAAGGACUUGACUGGACGUGGGAAAAGAGGGUAAGAGGGGGCGAGUUCUGUAGAUUGCGUUUGGAUCAUGCGCUGGCUAAUUCUAGUUGGUCGACAAUGUUUCUGUUUGCAUUUCUUGAGCACCUCACAGCACCCAAAUCAGAUCAUUGCCCUAUUCUUCUUAAUACAGAGUUGGAGACAACAAACAUGAGACAUGUUCUAAAAAAACAUUUCCGAUACGAGUGUAUGUGGGAUGCUUGUGGAGGAAGCUUGGAACCGUAA
rnacentral:rRNA from 1 species